UUGGAUUUUUUUAAAAUUUUGGAAGCAUCAAUCUUUAUAAGCUAAGCUCUGAAAGGCAUAAGUUUUGAUGAAUUUGAAUAUAAUCUGAAUUUCUAGUGAAUUUUUAAGUGAAGAGAGUUGGUCACCGUGGUAGUUUGGAUCACUCAACUUCAAAGGAAGAAUUCUCACGAUUGAAUUAAUAGAUUGAAACAAAGAUUAUUGGAUAAAAAGCGUCUUUAAGUCAGCCUUGCAACAAGCUAAAAAUCAUUCAAAUUGAAGCCAAUUACAAAUUUUGGCAAAUUUUGGAGUAGAAGGGGGUUGCUGCCUUCAAUCCUUACGUGUUGUCAAGGUACCUUCGCUUUUACCUCUCUCACUGUAUUUUUACUAUCGUCUUCACAAUGACUUGGAAGAUCCACAUUUCACUUUUUGGCUAAUAAAUUUUAAGUUUAACUUUUAACCUUUAAUAUUCUCACUUUAACUUUUAACUUUAAUUUUAACUUUUAACUUAACUUUUAAUCUUAAUUUUUAACUUAGCUUUUAAUUCAAACU
rnacentral:lncRNA from 1 species